rnacentral:rRNA from 1 species
AUUGAACGCUGGCGGCAGGCCUAACACAUGCAAGUCGAACGAGUGGCGGACGGGUGAGUAAUGUCUGGGAAACUGCCUGAUGGAGGGGGAUAACUACUGGAAACGGUAGCUAAUACCGCAUACCAUCAGAUGUGCCCAUAUGGGAUUAGCUAGUUGGUGGGGUAACGGCUCACCAAGGCGACGAUCCCUAGAUGGUCUGGGAGGAUGACAAGACAAACUGGAACUGAGACACGGUCCAGACUCCUACGGGGGGGAGCAGUGGGGAAUAUUGCACAAUGGGCGCAAGCCUGAGGCAGACAUGCCGCGUGUAUGAAGAAGGCCGUCGGGUUGGAAAGUACUUUAAGCGGGGAGGCGUUACCCGCAGAAGAAGGACCGGCGAACUCCGUGCCAGCAGCCGCGGUAAUUC